UGUAGAGAUCCAGAUCUUCUUACAUCUCAGCUGUUGGGAUGCUCCGAGACCGAAAGUUCCUAUAGGAAGAGUACAAUAGCUGCGAGGCUGGAUGAGGAAGGGAUUUGUCCUGUUUUGCUCUGCUCCCAGCAGCAUCACCCGAGCAUACAGGCAGCAGCUCGGAUUUCAGUUUGUCCUGACUCCUGGAACCAGGGUCAUCGUGCUCCUCAGAGACUCGAGCAGUGUGCCUUCUGGGCGGCGGUUGCUUCUGGCAGGUGCUAGCUCUCUGAUACUUAUUUUCCUUUGGCCCUUUCUUCAAUGCCUACUUAAUUCUUUAUAUGGUUCUGUUAAAAUAAUGAAUGGUUUCUGUCUCCUGACUAACCCAACUAACUGAUAGAACCUGUGGAUAGAACCUCUUAUUUUUCAGAUAAGCACAUGCCUGAGGAAGGUUAGAAUAUCCAAAGUCAAAACAUGGGUGUUUCUGGCAGAGCCAGGACUGGAAACCAAUUUGCUGAUUUUUUUUUUCCUUCAAUAGCGGAGGGGUUUUGACCUACCUACUCCUACUGAUGCAAAUAAAGAGAAGGUAAAGGUCAUGCUUUUCUCAGAAGUGAUGACUAAGACAUCCAGUGAUGGUGGUGGAAACCAGAACGAGCCUGGAUCUAAAACUUUGGUGAUGACUCCUCCCAUUUCAAAUCUUGUUGGCCCAGACCCUGCAUAACUGAAUCCCCACUCUGGGCCACUUAUAAUAUGAUUGCUCUUUCCUACUUUCCUUCCUGAUCUUUCACUUGCCCUUGAAGCAUUAAGAUAUUCCUACGUUUUGGUCCUUGACCUUCCAGUUUCUCUGAUUCUCAUUUCUAGCCCCUUCCUCUCAUCCAAUUAUGACAUUCAUAUAUUCAACUGCCUGCAGAUAUUCUUACCUGGAUAUCCUUCAGGCGUCUGACACUCAACUCAUCCUACUUUGACAGACCCUUCUACUCCUUCCACUCAAAAGAUUUUUCCUCUACUUCUUACCUCCAGUGAUGACCUCAUUGUCCACUCAGUCCUAUAAAAUGAAAACCCUGGGCAUCACUCUUAACUUUUUCUUCUCAGAUCACAUAGACCACCAGGCCCUUCUGGUUUUAUUUCUUUACCCCCAACCCUUUUGCUACAAUUCAGGUUCUCAUAACAUCUAAGGGCAUAGGUAUCUCUGCAUCUUGUGUUGUUUUUCUUAAAUAUAUCCAUCCAUGGCUAUUAGAGUGAUCAAAUAUGCAAAACUGACCAGGUUACUCCUCUGUUUAAACCCUUCAUUCAGUGGCAGUCCAGAGUAUGGUAUAAUAGAGCUCCCAAACAUCUGGUCCAAUCACAUUUCUUCUAAUUCCUGUUAAAGAAAGAGAUAACAAGCCCAAAAUGGGGUCACUUAUGCUAAGUCUCAUGCCAACAAACUGAGACUUAAUACCUACUUUAUAGUUUCAGCCUUUCCCAGGAAUGGAAUCUUAAACCAGUCAAUCUGGAAUUCCCUGGUCAACACUACUGAGGUAAUCUGCUUGACAGACCCCUGUGUCCCCUAAAGGAAGGUGACCUUGUCACAACCAAUCUGCUUAUUGCUAGUACAACUUCCUUGUCCCAUUUCCUUCUGCCUAUAAAAGUCUUUCCUUUAAUCAGAUAUACCAGAACCAGACUUUGAUUCAGAUGCUGGGGACACAGAGGCAGGGACAUCUGCUGAUAGCUGUGACAGUCACAGCUAUUCUCCAUUGGUGGGGUUUCUAGCACCAGGGGGCCAGUGAUAUUGUGUGAUACUGAGCAUCAUUCCUGGGUUCAAAGACUUCAAAUAGGGCUUUCUUAUUCUCCCAGAGAGUCAGUGAGCUACCUGCUAUCAUUUUGAAAACUUACUUUCUGCUUAAGUUUACCAGAAUUGGGGCUGUUGUUUACAACUAAAAAUACUCCCCAGCUAAUUUAUUAUUACUAUAUCACUUUGUCAGAUAAUUUUCUGUUUGGGUCUCCCUCACUAAGCUGUGAACCUCUUGAAAACAAGAACAGUUUCAUAUUUUUUGGAUCUCUAGUGGCUAGAAUAUAGCAAGUACAUUUUUUCCAAUGUUCAGAAAAUCUUCAUAAAAAGCACAAUGGGAAAAAUGUGUGCUAACAGUGCAGCAAUGGGGAAAGAAAAGUAACUCCACGUUGAUACAUUGGCACAAAGAGGAGGAAUAAACACACCAAUCAAACCUCAA